AGUGAACGCUGGCGGUAGGCCUAACACAUGCAAGUCGAACGGCAGCACAGUAAGAGCUUGCUCUUACGGGUGGCGAGUGGCGGACGGGUGAGGAAUACAUCGGAAUCUACUUUUUCGUGGGGGAUAACGUAGGGAAACUUACGCUAAUACCGCAUACGAUCUACGGGUGAAAGCAGGGGAUCUUCGGACCUUGCGCGAUUGAAUGAGCCGAUGUCGGAUUAGCUAGUUGGCGGGGUAAAGGCCCACCAAGGCGACGCUCCGUAGCUGGUCUGAGAGGAUGAUCAGCCACACUGGAACUGAGACACGGUCCAGACUCCUACGGGAGGCAGCAGUGGGGAAUAUUGGACAAUGGGCGCAAGCCUGAUCCAGCCAUACCGCGUGGGUGAAGAAGGCCUUCGGGUUGUAAAGCCCUUUUGUUGGGAAAGAAAAGCAGCAGGUUAAUACCCCGCUGUUCUGACGGUACCCAAAGAAUAAGCACCGGCUAACUUCGUG
rnacentral:rRNA from 1 species